GACGAACGCUGGCGGCGUGCUUAACACAUGCAAGUCGAACGGUGAAGCUCCAGCUUGCUGGAGUGGAUCAGUGGCGAACGGGUGAGUAACACGUGAGCAACCUGCCCCUGACUCUGGAAUAAGCGCUGGAAACGGCGUCUAAUACUGGUUAUGAGAAGGGUCCGCAUGGACACUUUCUGGAAAGUUUUUCGGUUGGGGAUGGGCUCGCGGCCUAUCAGCUUGUUGGUGAGGUAAUGGCUCACCAAGGCGACGACGGGUAGCCGGCCUGAGAGGGCGACCGGCCACACUGGGACUGAGACACGGCCCAGACUCCUACGGGAGGCAGCAGUGGGGAAUAUUGCACAAUGGGCGAAAGCCUGAUGCAGCGACGCCGCGUGAGGGAUGACGGCCUUCGGGUUGUAAACCUCUUUCAGCAGGGAAGAAGCGAAAGUGACGGUACCUGCAGAAGAAGCACCGGCUAACUACGUG
rnacentral:rRNA from 1 species